UGAACGCUGGCGGCAUGCCUUACACAUGCAAGUCGAACGGUAACAGGUCUUCGGAUGCUGACGAGUGGCGAACGGGUGAGUAAUACAUCGGAACGUGCCCGAUCGUGGGGGAUAACGGAGCGAAAGCUUUGCUAAUACCGCAUACGAUCUACGGAUGAAAGCAGGGGACCGCAAGGCCUUGCGCGGACGGAGCGGCCGAUGGCAGAUUAGGUAGUUGGUGGGAUAAAAGCUUACCAAGCCGACGAUCUGUAGCUGGUCUGAGAGGACGACCAGCCACACUGGGACUGAGACACGGCCCAGACUCCUACGGGAGGCAGCAGUGGGGAAUUUUGGACAAUGGGCGAAAGCCUGAUCCAGCCAUGCCGCGUGCAGGAUGAAGGCCUUCGGGUUGUAAACUGCUUUUGUACGGAACGAAAAGACUCCUUCUAAUAAAGGGGGUCCAUGACGGUACCGUAAGAAUAAGCACCGGCUAACUACGUGCCAGCAGCCGCGGUAAUACGUAGGGUGCAAGCGUUAAUCGGAAUUACUGGGCGUAAAGCGUGCGCAGGCGGUUAUAUAAGACAGAUGUGAAAUCCCCGGGCUCAACCUGGGAACUGCAUUCGUGACUGUAUAGCUAGAGUACGGCAGAGGGGGAUGGAAUUCCGCGUGUAGCAGUGAAAUGCGUAGAUAUGCGGAGGAACACCGAUGGCGAAGGCAAUCCCCUGGGCCUGUACUGACGCUCAUGCACGAAAGCGUGGGGAGCAAACA
rnacentral:rRNA from 1 species